GUCUCUGUGGCAAAUCGAUUAGCGCGUUCGGCUGUUACCUGAAAGGUUGGUGGUUCAAGCCCACCCAGGGACG
rnacentral:tRNA from 1 species